GAGUUUGAUCUUGGCUCAGGACGAACGCUGGCGGCGUGCCUAACACAUGCAAGUCGAACGGAGAUAAACGCUGAUGAUUUAGCUUGCUAUUGAUUCUUGUUUAUCUUAGUGGCGGACGGGUGAGUAACGCGUGAGCAACCUGCCUUUCAGAGGGGGAUAACGUCUUGAAAAGGACGCUAAUACCGCAUGAGAUCGUAGUUCCACAUGGGACAGCGACCAAAGGAGCAAUCCGCUGAAAGAUGGGCUCGCGUCCGAUUAGAUAGUUGGCGGGUAACGGCCCACCAAGUCGACGAUCGGUAGCCGGACU
rnacentral:rRNA from 1 species